CUGUCCUCCUUCCUGGACGUUAGCUUAUGAGGUGGGGAAAUUCUUAAAGAUACAACAAACAACAGGCAAAACUCCUGUGAACUUCAGUGAGAGAAUUAAGUCCUGUUUGCUAGCUUCCCCAGUGUAAAUGCUCUCAGCAAAAGGAAGAAACAUGCAAAUUUCAGUCAGAGCAUCCUACCCAAGAUCUCCCUCCAGCCACAGGAUUUUUGCGUCACAGGACCUGAUUUGCAUACUAGCUUCUUUGGAAUACCAGAUAACCCCAAGACAUUUUUCGAAACAAAAGUGUGAAGGUCAUCCUGGACUGGAUUUCUCAGGAUCAAGCUAUCUGAAGAACUAUUGGUGCUAUAUAAUUCCCCAGAUUCAACAUGUUCUGUGCUUAGCUGCUGACAAAGUUAUCUUCUUCUCUCUUUCUGGUGAGAUUGAGAUGCCUUACAGUACAAUAUAGACCUUGCAGUGCAAAAUUCAAAGAAUCUUUAAAUAAGUCUAUUUUACUAGGACAUCCCCCCAAAUGCAAUUGUAAAUACAGCAUAUUAGGCAAAUUAGGGACACGAAUGAUUCUCAGGGAAAUGAUCAUACAAUGUCUUGUCUACCAUACCAGGGAUUCUGGUCCUCUUGUCCUAAGACAAGCUAUAUAGGACUAGAACAACAAAAGUGGCUUUGAUUCAGCGCUGCUUCUGGGUUUUGCUGCUGCAGAACAAGUGUGGCUUCACAAGUGCACUCAUGUUAUUCCACAGUUCCAUCAAGAGGUACAUGACAUCUGCAGUAAGUACUGCUGUGGUAAUUCAGCAGGUGAUCGGAGAUUAAGACAAACCCAUCCUUUUAGAGCAGGACGCUCUGGUAUUUCACAGAGAAUAAGAUAAGAACAGGGUAGAGGCCAGGCUUGGAUGUACAGGGAUGUUCUAAAUAGCAGCAGGGAACCCUGGUAUGAACUUCUGGAAUGUAGUGUUCUGGUAAAAUAAAAUUAUUGCCAGCAGAUUCAGAAAAUCCUUCUGCCAGAAACAGACAUGAGCAAUUGUGGUGGGUUUCAUGUCCAACAACAGGCAGUUCUUGGCCAGCAUGCAUAGUGACAUUCAGCAGGACUCCCUAAAACGAACAUUUGCUAACAGUUUUCAUGCAGUUUCAAGAUUUACAGAUGAUUUCAAGCACCUGAGGAAACCAAUCACUUCCAAUACUACUGUGUAAUGAAUGUCAACAAAUGCUGUAGUAUAACCAGGCCUCAUAAUAUAGACAGUGGUAUUUCUUUUUUUUUUUCUUUAUGCUUAUUUUUUAAUGCAUAUUACUUGUUACGCUGUCUGUCUCUCAUAUCCCUAGCAUUUGCUUUCUUCUGGGAUUCACUGCUAAAAAUUAGAAAGAGCAGAACUGAGUAAAGGAGCCAUCAGUGUUGGAUAAAUGCCCUGCAGUGGUCAAGAGGUGAAUCACCUAAAGCAGGAAUUCCACAUAUUAGACUUGUCUAGCACACAUUUCAGGAAACGGUCUCAAAGGGAGAAGUGUUUUAUACAUGCCAUGGAUUUCCAGUAAAGAUUUUGCUUAUCAGUGUAUACUUAUUACAGGUCAGGGUGUUCCUCAGCAAUGCAACACCUGGCACAUACAGCCUUUUACAAAAGUAUAUAAACACACAC